UCUGUGUAGAUAUUGAAGAGCAACGGUGA
rnacentral:sRNA from 1 species